ensembl:snoRNA LOC120098392 small nucleolar RNA SNORA17
AUUGCAGAAGUCUGAAGAUAAGUUGCAGAUGUGGCUGCUGUAUCACACAUGAGUCAGUAGGUGGCAGAGAGAAAAGAGGUUAUGUCUACACUCAGUGUUCUGACCUGAGAACAUCUAUCUGAAUGUAGUAGCCUGACAUU